rnacentral:rRNA from 1 species
CCUACGGGUGGCUGCAGUGGGGAAUAUUGGACAAUGGGGGCAACCCUGAUCCAGCCAUGCCGCGUGUGUGAAGAAGGCCCUCGGGUUGUAAAGCACUUUCAGUGAGGAAGAACGCCUGGUGGUUAAUACCCAUCAGGAAAGACAUCACUCACAGAAGAAGCACCGGCUAACUCCGUACCAGCAGCCGCGGUAAUACGGAGGGUGCGAGCGUUAAUCGGAAUUACUGGGCGUAAAGCGCGCGUAGGUGGCUUGAUAAGCCGGUUGUGAAAGCCCCGGGCUCAACCUGGGAACGGCAUCCGGAACUGUCAAGCUAGAGUGCAGGAGAGGAAGGUAGAAUUCCCGGUGUAGCGGUGAAAUGCGUAGAGAUCGGGAGGAAUACCAGUGGCGAAGGCGGCCUUCUGGACUGACACUGACACUGAGGUGCGAAAGCGUGGGUAGCAAACAGGAUUAGAUACCCUAGUAGUC